rnacentral:misc_RNA from 1 species
UGGAGCAGAAAGCUGCCUGAUCGCGGCUUCUUAUCAUAGUUUGUGAAGAUGGGCUCGAAAGGAAAGCCUACUAGUUUUCCAUGGAAAGUGUAAUCACAUAUAUGCCUAUUAAGGUGAUCAAUUGAUGAUGUCUGGCCAUGAUAAGAGAGGGAACUCUCCUGGUUCUAUGAAAAGAUGUGGUUCCUAACUCCUACAAUCAGAACCAGUACCCAUCCUUCCAGGACGUGAUAUCGGCAGCUCAGCACCAUCUCGAGGACUUUCCAUUAGCUCAAGAGAGCUCCACCAUGCAGCACCCUCAACCAUUCAACUGGAAAUGCAUUGGUCCCCUCCGCAAGCUCACGCUAUCAAAUUCAAUUGUGAUGCAGCAGUGCCCAAACGAGGAAACAUGGGGCUG